rnacentral:tRNA from 1 species
GUUCGGGUAGCUCAGGGGUAGAGCAAUCGACUGCAGUCCCAAGUGGUUGGAUCCGAUAGGUCAGGCGUUCAAAUCACUUUUAUAACU